rnacentral:rRNA from 1 species
CACGCAGUAAACGAUGAGCACUGACUGUGCGGGGCGAACGGGCCCUGCGCGGUAAAGCGAAAGCGUUAAGUGCUCCACCUGGGGAGUACGCCGGCAACGGUGAAACUCAAAGGAAUUGACGGGGACCCGCACAAGCAGCGGAGCAUGUGGUUUAAUUCGAAGCAACGCGAAGAACCUUACCUGGACUUGACAUCCCCUGAAUGACUCGUAAUGGAGGAAGCCCUACGGGGCAGGGAGACAGGUGG